GACGAACGCUGGCGGCGCGCUUAACACAUGCAAGUCGAACGGAAAGGCCUGCUUUCCCUUGUGGAUUGCGGGUACUCGAGUGGCGAACGGGUGAGUAACACGUGAGUGAUCUGCCCCCAACUUGGGUAUAAGCCUGGGAAACUGGGUCUAAUUCCCGAUAGGACUGCAGGGUGGUGCCUGUGGUGGAAAACGAUUUUCUAGUGGUUGGGGAUGAGCUCGCGGCCUAUCAGCUUGUUGGUGGGGUAAUGGCCUACCAAGGCGGCGACGGGUAGCCGGCCUGAGAUGGUGGACGGCCACAUUGGGACUGAGAUACGGCCCAGACUCCUACGGGAGGCAGCAGUGGGGAAUAUUGCACAAUGGGCGGAAGCCUGAUGCAGCGAGGCCGCGUGGGGGAUGACGGCCUUCGGGUUGUAAACUCCUUUCGACCGCGAGGAAGCCACCUGGUUGGAAGGGUGGUGACGGUAGUGGUAGAAGAAGCACCGGCUAACUACGUG
rnacentral:rRNA from 1 species